rnacentral:rRNA from 1 species
CGGACGGGUGAGUAAUGCGUGACCAACCUGCCCCAUGCUCCAGAAUAGCUCUUGGAAACGGGUGGUAAUGCUGGAUGCUCCAACUUGACGCAUGUCUUGUUGGGAAAGUGUUUAGUGGCAUGGGAUGGGGUCGCGUCCUAUCAGCUUGUAGGCGGGGUAAUGGCCCACCUAGGCUUCGACGGGUAGCCGGCCUGAGAGGGCGGACGGCCACAUUGGGACUGAGAUACGGCCCAGACUCCUACGGGAGGCAGCAGCA